GGUGCCCGGCCCUGGGGAGCUCAGAGCAAGGUCCCUGCAAUGGAUUAUUCAGGCAUUGCUGAGAGUAUCCCAGGGGUACCUGUCCCUGCUAGACAGGGAGCUCUCUAAUGGACUGUAAUUGGGUGAUAAAAGUGGUGCUCCAAGUGCCAAAGUGUGGGAUUGGGAUUAAGAAAUGAGCAGUGAUGGUCCAAUUGGUUGUUUGCUGUUGAAUGUAAUGGUAAGAGCUGCAGGAGUGCAAGGUGUGUGUUCCAGUCCCCAGCAUUUGGUUUGCACAGGUCCUGGUCAGACACAUAUACAACUUCCUUGGUCCUUGCAAGAGAAUGAGUAUGAAGGAGUGGCACUGUUAAGGUGAUUGGUGUGACAGGGGUUAAACUGGGAAAACAUGGGGGAAUUCUUCAGUUUGUCUGUUUGCCAAACUCACCCAAACCUGUGCAACGAAGAGAUUGACUAGAAAAUUUGAGGCAGAAAUUAAAUUGGAAACUGUUGAUAUUGAAACUGUAAUUGCUGAAACUAAAUGUGUCAAAGCAGCAGCUCUUUUUGUGCAGGGAUUAACUCCUGUCAGCAGCAAGGUCCCGACUGAAUUGGCAGCUGCAGUUGUUCCUGUGGUGUGGGCCAGUGGACUUCCAGGAGAGUGGAAGAGGGCAGAACCUGACGUGAAUGCAAGAACCUGCCAAGGAACCAAUGGCCAAGAUGAUUGAUGAGUGCAGGACCUGAGAGAAGCACCUUGAAUGACAACCACGAGCAGUUUCCAGUAUUGGAUUGAAAAGAUGGCCUUUGCUGCAUCUCCUUGAGCAAGGAGAGCCAAGAAACCUUUGCUUUUGAAGGAGAAAAUCUGGAAAGCAGGAAG